UACGAAGGGUGCAAGCGUUACUCGGAAUUACUGGGCGUAAAGCGUGCGGUAGGUGGUUUGUUAAGUCUGAUGUGAAAGCCCUGGGCUCAACCUGGGAAUUGCAUUGGAUACUGGGCAGGCUAGAGUGCGGUAGAGGAUGGCGGAAUUCCCGGUGUAGCGGUGAAAUGCGUAGAUAUCGGGAAGGAACACCUGUGGCGAAAGCGGGCGCACUGGACCAUAACUGACACUGAGAGACGAAAAGCCAGGGGAGCAAACGGG
rnacentral:rRNA from 1 species